rnacentral:rRNA from 1 species
AGUGAACGCUGGCGGUAGGCCUAACACAUGCAAGUCGAACGGCAGCACAGGAGAGCUUGCUCUCUGGGUGGCGAGUGGCGGACGGGUGAGGAAUACAUCGGAAUCUACUCUGUCGUGGGGGAUAACGUAGGGAAACUUACGCUAAUACCGCAUACGACCUACGGGUGAAAGCAGGGGACCUUCGGGCCUUGCGCGAUUGAAUGAGCCGAUGUCGGAUUAGCUAGUUGGCGGGGUAAAGGCCCACCAAGGCGACGAUCCGUAGCUGGUCUGAGAGGAUGAUCAGCCACACUGGAACUGAGACACGGUCCAGACUCCUACGGGAGGCAGCAGUGGGGAAUAUUGGACAAUGGGCGCAAGCCUGAUCCAGCCAUACCGCGUGGGUGAAGAAGGCCUUCGGGUUGUAAAGCCCUUUUGUUGGGAGGAAGGGCGCUCGGUGAAUACCCAGGCGUCUUGACGUUACCGACAGAAUAAGCACCGGCUAACUUCGUGCCAGCCGCCGCCGUAA